rnacentral:rRNA from 1 species
UGCCAGCAGCCGCGGUAAUACGGAGGGUGCAAGUGUUAAUCGGAAUUACUGGGCGUAAAGCGCGCGUAGGCGGCUUGUUAAGUCGGAUGUGAAAGCCCAGGGCUCAACCUUGGAAUUGCACUCGAUACUGGCAAGCUAGAGUACGAGAGAGGGUGGUAGAAUUUCUAGUGUAGCGGUGAAAUGCGUAGAUAUUAGAAGGAAUACCGGUGGCGAAGGCGGCCACCUGGCUCGAUACUGACGCUGAGGUGCGAAAGCGUGGGGAGCAAACAGGAUUAGAUA